rnacentral:rRNA from 1 species
AGGCUGAGCUGUGACGGCGAGGGAAAUUUAGUACCGAAGUUCCUGAUUCCACACUGCCAAGAAAAGCCUCUAGCGAGGGAAAAGGUGCCCGUACCGCAAACCGACACAGGUAGGCGAGGAGAGAAUCCUAAGGUGAGCGAGAGAACUCUCGUUAAGGAACUCGGCAAAAUGACCCCGUAACUUCGGGAGAAGGGGUGCUCAUUAGGGUGAAUAGCCCUGAUGAGCCGCAGUGAAUAGGCCCAGGCGACUGUUUAGCAAAAACACAGGUCUCUGCGAAGCCGCAAGGCGAAGUAUAGGGGCUGACGCCUGCCCGGUGCUGGAAGGUUAAGAGGAGAGGUUAGCGCAAGCGAAGCUUUGAAUCGAAGCCCCAGUAAACGGCGGCCGUAACUAUAACGGUCCUAAGGUAGCGAAAUUCCUUGUCGGGUAAGUUCCGACCCGCACGAAAGGCGUAACGAUCUGGGCACUGUCUCAACGAGAGACUCGGUGAAAUUAUAGUACCUGUGAAGAUGCAGGUUACCCGCGACAGGACGGAAAGACCCCGUGGAGCUUUACUGUAGCCUGAUAUUGAAUUUUGGUACAGCUUGUACAGGAUAGGUAGGAGCCUGAGAAGCCGGAGCGCCAGCUUCGGUGGAGGCGUCGGUGGGAUACUACCCUGGCUGUAUUGAAAUUCUAACCCGCGCCCCUGAUCGGGGCGGGAGACAGUGUCAGGUGGGCAGUUUGACUGGGGCGGUCGCCUCCUAAAAAGUAACGGAGGCGCCCAAAGGUUCCCUCAGAAUGGUUGGAAAUCAUUCGCAGAGUGUAAAGGCACAAGGGAGCUUGACUGCGAGACCUACAAGUCGAGCAGGGACGAAAGUCGGGCUUAGUGAUCCGGUGGUUCCGCAUGGAAGGGCCAUCGCUCAACGGAUAAAAGCUACCCCGGGGAUAACAGGCUUAUCUCCCCCAAGAGUCCACAUCGACGGGGAGGUUUGGCACCUCGAUGUCGGCUCAUCGCAUCCUGGGGCUGUAGUCGGUCCCAAGGGUUGGGCUGUUCGCCCAUUAAAGCGGUACGCGAGCUGGGUUCAGAACGUCGUGAGACAGUUCGGUCCCUAUCCGUCGUGGGCGCAGGAAAUUUGAGAGGAGCUGUCCUUAGUACGAGAGGACCGGGAUGGACGCACCGCUGGUGUACCAGUUGUCUUGCCAAAGGCAUCGCUGGGUAGCUAUGUGCGGAAGGGAUAAGUGCUGAAAGCAUCUAAGCAUGAAGCCCCCCUCGAGAUGAGAUUUCCCAUAGCGUCAAGCUAGUAAGAUCCCUGAAAGAUGAUCAGGUUGAUAGGUCAGAGGUGGAAGCGUGGCGACAUGUGGAGCUGACUGAUACUAAUCGAUCGAGGACUUAACCAA